CACCACUCAAGCCUGGCUUGGUAUUGGGUGCCGCGGGCCUCCCGCGCGCCUCAAAGUCUCUCCGGCCGAGCGGCCCCGUCUCUAAGCGUUGUGGAAACUAUUCGCGGUGAGGGGGGCGGCGCGGCCGUUAAACGUUUCUCAA
rnacentral:misc_RNA from 1 species